rnacentral:hammerhead_ribozyme from 1 species
AUCCAACUAACGAGUCCCAAAUAGGACGAAACUCGCGUCCUGGAU